rnacentral:rRNA from 1 species
UUUUUCCUACGGGACGCAGCAGUGAGGAAUAUUGGUCAAUGGGCGGGAGCCUGAACCAGCCAAGUCGCGUGAGGGAAGACGGUCCUAUGGAUUGUAAACCUCUUUUGUCGGGGAGCAAAGAGAUCACGUGUGGUCAAAAGCGAGAGUACCCGAAGAAAAAGCAUCGGCUAACUCCGUGCCAGCAGCCGCGGUAAUACGGAGGAUGCGAGCGUUAUCCGGAUUUAUUGGGUUUAAAGGGUGCGUAGGCGGGACGGUAAGUCAGCGGUAAAAAUGCGGAGCUCAACUCCGUCGCGCCGUUGAAACUG